rnacentral:rRNA from 1 species
UACGAAGGGUGCAAGCGUUAGUCGGAAUUACUGGGCGUAAAGCGUGCGUAGGCGGUUUCUUAAGUCGGAUGUGAAAGCCCUGGGCUCAACCUGGGAAUGGCACUCGAUACUGGGAAGCUGGAGUACGGUAGAGGAAGGUGGAAUUCCAGGUGUAGCGGUGAAAUGCGUAGAUAUCGAGAGGAACACCUGCGGCGAAGGCGGGUUGCUGGGCUGACACUGACGCUGAGGCGCGAAAGCUAGGGGAGCGAACGGG